CGAGGUUGUAGUUUAAUAAAAAUAUUAGCAUUGGAAGCUAGAGAUUGGGUUAUUUAAUCCCACACCUCGA
rnacentral:tRNA from 1 species